AUUCAUCUGACGAGUCCCAAAUAGGACGAAACGCGUGUCCUGCAU
rnacentral:hammerhead_ribozyme from 1 species